UUCUUACCGAUGCUGUUUCCACAGCAUAUCCUGCAUGAUACACGCCGCUGAAUGCGGUAUUCCGUCUCCGUCUGUCACAUUUAUGUCACAUUUCCCAAAAACUCUCCCAAAAAAAAUUAGAACUACCCUUUAUUGAUUUUCUGGUAAAAUUUUCAGGGCGCUGGUACUCUGUUUGAUUUUACCCGCGUCACUUCUCUCGCUUAAGCUUAAUCCGACUUUGUUGUGGCCGCGACUCUCGGAAAAGUUGAGGUAGGGCAGGUAGCUAGCAGACGCCCGUGGUUUGUGGUGUGUCUGUCCCUGCGUGUUGGCAAAGCAAAGGGAAAAUGGAUGGCAACUAGGCUUGUGCUCGCGUUCGGUCACGAGAUGUCUUUUUAUGAAUUUUCAAUCAACAUCCGCUUGAAUGAUUCGGAAGAUUCUCCACGGACUUCUUGACAAGAGGGCUCACCUCGAGAGCGGGAGGGAGGACAACAAGAUCCAAGACCUUUCUCAGAACAGUCCUGAAGGACCCAGCAUGUAUGGCUGUUCGACAGGACGACGGGCUCGAGGAUGGUUCCACCCCAACAUCAGCGGCGUGGACGCCGAGGUGCUGCUCAUGGAGCGCGGCCGCGACGGCUCGUUCCUGGCGAGGCCGAGCCGCUCCACGGCGGGGGACUUCACGCUCUCCGUCAGGCGGAACGGCGACGUGACGCACAUCAAGAUCCAGAACACGGGCGACUUCUACGACCUGUACGGCGGCGAGAAGUUCGCCACCCUGUCCGAGCUCGUCCAGUACCACAUGGAGAACCACCUGCGCGAGAAGAACGGCGACGUGAUCGAGCUCAAGUACCCCCUCAACUCGGCCGACCCCACCACGGAACGGUGGUUCCACGGACAUCUCUCGGGCAAGGAUGCAGAGAAGUUGAUCUUGGACAAGGGCAAGAACGGCAGUUUUCUGGUCAGGGAGAGUCAAAGCAAACCUGGAGAUUACGUCUUGUCCGUGCGAACUGACGACAAAGUGACUCAUGUCAUGAUUCGGUGUCAUGAGAGAUUUUAUGAUGUGGGGGGUGGCAUGAAGUUUGACAGCUUAAGUGAAUUAAUUGAAUACUACAAAAAGAAUCCUAUGGUGGAGACAAGUGGUACAGUUGUUCAUCUCAAGCAGCCAUUCAACGCCACUCGCAUCAAUGCUUCUGGUAUCGAUAGCAGAGUAAAAGAGCUACAGAAAGAGAAUGGACUCUCCAUGGGGAAAGCUGGCUUUUGGGAGGAGUUCGAGUCAUUACAACAGCAGGAGUGCCGCCACUUAUUUUCACGGAAAGAAGGUCAAAAGGCAGAAAAUAGGAACAAAAACCGCUACAAAAACAUUCUUCCUUUUGACCACACAAGAGUAAAGCUAAAAAAUAUUGACCCCAAUGAACCUGGAGCUGAAUAUGUUAAUGCCAAUUACAUUAAACCUGAAGAAGAAACAUUGCCAAAUGGACCACCGAAACAUUAUAUUGCUACUCAAGGUUGUUUACCUAGUACCAUGGGCGAUUUUUGGCACAUGGUAUGGCAAGAAAAUACUCGAGUUAUUGUUAUGACGACAAAAGAAGUUGAAAGAGGAAAGAACAAAUGUGCAAGGUACUGGCCUGAGGAAGGGCAGUCAAAAGAAUACAAAAAAACUAAAGUUAAAAAUAUAUUAGAGUCAAAAACUGCAGAUUACACACUGAGGGAAUUUUCUGUGUCAAUGGAAGGUUCUGAUGAAGAACGGAAAGUUUAUCACUACCAUUUCCAGGCCUGGCCUGACCAUGGUGUCCCCGCGGACCCCGGCUGUGUGCUGAAUUUCCUUCAUGAUGUAAAUGCCAGACAAGAGUCCAUUGUUGGUGCUGGCCCAGUCUUGGUGCAUUGCAGCGCAGGCAUUGGAAGGACUGGCACAUUUAUUGUUAUUGACAUGAUCCUCGAUCAAAUUAAGAGAUUAGGUUUAGACUGUGAAAUAGACAUUCAGAGAACGAUUCAGAUGGUACGAUCUCAGAGGUCCGGAAUGGUUCAGACAGAAGCACAGUACAAAUUCGUGUAUCUUGCAGUGCAGCACCAUAUUGAGACAGCAUCACAUAGAAAACAAGCCGAACAGAAAAGUCUGCAGCUGGGCCGCGAGUACACCAACAUCCGCUACUCCAGCGAGGUGGUGACGCCCGCCUCGCAGAACGCCACCACGCUGGCGAGCACGCUGUCCGACGCCAGCCUGUCCCGCUCCACCACGUCCAUCCCCGGCGCCACCGCCACGGCCACGGCAGCCUCCUUGGCCUCGCUGGCCUCGGGCGGCAGCGUCGUGGGGGUGUCGAGCGGCACACUCCUCCGCAGCGUGUCGAGCUCGGCGAGCUCUGAGCGCGCCGGCCACCACGCCGGCCACGGCGGCCACGGUGGCGGUCAUGUCGGCGGCAUGCCGGCGAGCAGUGACGCACAUCUGCCCAGGUAUGGCGCCGUGCCUGUUGCCGUAUCCCCACCCAAGGUGGUGCGCGUGCGCCGGCUCUUGUCGUGGGUGUAGUUGAAGUUGGUCAAGCUGUGAUGCAAGCGGGAUGCGAGCGAGAUCGCGAGCAUGCAAGCGCGAUGCCGCGAUGCCGCGAUGCGAGCAGGGAGACGGGAGACGACGCGCAGGGCGCAGGCAGUCGCAGAUGCAGUCGCAGGCAGUCGCUGGCUCUGGCAGGCUGGCAGGCGAGCCCAGAGCCCAGGCCACUCACCGUUCCGUCCCCCGGACAGGGAGCGAGCGAGCCUCCAGAUGAAAUUCCCAGGACAAUUUACGAGAACAUUCCAAUAAAAGAGCGCAAGAUAUCGACUAACAGUCAUGUCCUGAGCCCGGCUCCCGCGGCAGGGGUGUCGACGGGCGCCCCGCCGCCGCCUCCUCCACGC
rnacentral:misc_RNA from 1 species